UCAAGAAAUAAUUGCUGUAAAACGUCGCUGAGAAGUAUCUUCAAUUAUCCCUAAUGAUUUCAAGAAGGCAAUUGAAUUAUGGACCUCUUUGCAAGAAUAAAACAAAUUGGCUGAUUUCACGUAGAAGAUAUUAGUAAGAGGCAUAGCUUGUUAUUUUUCUUCAGAUAUUGCUUCAGGUGUAUCAGAAUUUUUGUAUACAUUUAUCGCAAACAGUAAUAAAAUGGCUGCCUGUGUUGUUUAAAUAACGAGAAUGGUGUCAACGACACCGAUAAGCACAUUACGUUUUCAUCGAAGGGACUAACGAGCGCUGCUAACAUCGAGUCAGUAUAAAUUUAGGCAAGCUCAUUGGAAAACUGUAUCAAGAUGAACUAGUUCAAUGUUUUUGCGCUGAAAGUAUGCACACUCAAAUAUUUUCGAUAUCUCAUGGCAGAAUAACAAAGAAAAAAAGACGAUGACGUGAGCGUUGUUUAACGAGCAAAGCUUAGAGAUAAGCGUACAAGGACUCGUAGAGAUUAUCGGCCCCAGCCUGCGACUCACAUCCUGUUUCCAUCGCGAGACAAACUGCGACACACCCACUGUUCCGAGAACGUCGAACUUCGCCACCAAUUUCCAGUCGAAUCGAAAGCAACGCGUGUGGGAUAUUCGCGAGAUCGUGUAGUUUCCGCACUUCUAUUCACAACUGUGCAAUUACUCUCUAAUCGAGAGAGGGAAACGAAACUGAUCGACGUCGAAAUCGUCGACGAUUUCGACACUGAUAAUAUCGCGGACCUCGCGAAAUUUUCAACUAACGUCCGUGUAAAUACUUUAUACACGUUCGCCUUUCAAUAAUCGCAUGCAACACCAACGAUACAUUCCUUUAUAUUUGUUUAUCUCUGUCCGAUACUCUCUCCUGGGCGAUGUAAAAUCACGAUAUAGCGAACAAACUGUCACGUGCUUAUCGGAUCGGCGAGAUUUGCGCACGUGAACCUGUGAUGAUCGGCAAAACGGUACUGAUUGUCAAUCAAGUUCUCGGUAAAGCGACCGGCUUCGAAGCCGGAGAAUAGAAGCCUGGAGGAGGCAAGCUGGUCUGGAGAAGGAGAAGGAACAGGAGAUGGAGGGAGUAUUCUCACAACAAGGGAAGUAGAAACUCGAGGCUGGUUCGCGAAGCCAAGGAAAACCAACCUAGCCAGCUACGAAGAAAUGGUUCGCGGGUAGAACCUGAACUAGACAGUUACUUGUGAAUCGGAUGGAUGUGCUCUUUCGCGGAAAUUGAAAUGUUCCUUGAAUUGGACCCUCGAUAUCGUAACUUAAAGGUUAGAAAGCGAUAAGAAAACGAAUAUAAUAAUUCAAAUAUUGCGUCCUUGCUUUGUCGAUAAAGUAGAUCUUUAAGGGAAAGAUCUAGUUCGUGUCGACUUUGAAUCAAUAUAACAACGCGUUUGAAUGAAAUUCGUGGUUGGCAGGAAGCCUACCGAGCUCCCCCGGAUCUAUUUUAUACUGCUGAAUCAUACAGUCAAUUUGGACAUUAAUAUUGCACGAUAUGCGUAACGCACUUUCGUCAUAAAUUUCAGGGAAAUUGGACGUAUUGGACGUACGAUAAUGACUCUAAACACUUAAUAAAUCAUAUAGAAGUAUUACAGUCGCAGGAAGAGAUGCCUACGCACACAUUGGAUCAUUAUAUGAGCUUUUAUGCAAUGGAAUGCAUGAUAAAUAAACGCAGUUUCCUGUAUCUCUAAAAAAGCUAGUGCAUUACGACUAGAAAUGUAAUAAUGCAUAUUGAUGAUAACAACUUUCAUAUUGCUGUUCAUCGUAUAAGCAGAGGAGUAGUCUUUUCAUAAAUUACGAAAACGAUUUGGAGUUCCGUAUCUUUAAGGUUGGCUACUUUAUGUAUUAACCUUUGAAAAUAUGCCAGAGAUUCGCUUCCGCCAACGAUUCAAGACUAUUAUAAAUUUAUCAAAACAUGAAAUGUUUAUACGGAAUCACGAAUUCAUCGCGUACAAGCAUGUAUGCUAUUAUGUAGCACUUUUACUGCGGUAAUGCUUCUCUUCACUGUCUAUCGCGAACGACCGAGCUGUGUAGACGAUCGAUUAGUGGUGGGGAUGAUGCACACACCACACGACCACUUGUUGAAUGCCGUCUGUGAAUUUUAUGCAUACGAAUCCACAAAUAGGAGAAUAAUCUACUAGGUUCAAAAAAAAAAGAAGAGAAAAGAGCAUCAAAGAAUGAAUUGUCACCGCUUGUUGAAAUACAACAGAACAAGAAUCGUGGUAUCAAUACUCUGUGAAUAGAGUGAAUUCAACGGGAGGAAAACAAGAAGUUCAAAUGUACAAGUGUAUUUCAGGCGCUCGCCCGCACUCACGAC